rnacentral:lncRNA from 1 species
UAAUAAUCCACAACACAACAUUAAACAACAAUAACUAUCACAAUUUUAAAAAUAAGUUGGUUUACAACAUCAGCAAUUCCAUACAAUAAAAAUAAAAUAAAUCGAAAAAUAAAAAUAGAGACAAAGAUUUGACUCGACAUCCUCUCAUGUCGACUCCAUUUCCAUACCACAUCAAUCAACCCUGUAAAAGAUUAAAAAAAAUAAGAAGAAGAAAAAAAGGCCCUUCAAGUCAAUAAUUAUUUCCAAAAUUAUUUCAAAUCCGUUAACAUAACAACCUAUCGUUGAAUACUUUGGUGAGAUGUACCCCUUGAAGUUUCAUUUAUAAAUGUCUUAAAAUCUUAGCUACAAGAAUGUGUCACACUGUUGAGUACGGUUAAUUAGUAGUAUCAAGUUGGAGGUUAAUGAGAAGUUCAAUCCCCCACUAUAUAUCACAUAUUAUAAAAUGAUGAUAAUAAUCAGAGAGAUUAAGAAUAAGAUUUAAGAGAAAGAUGAAGAUGAUUAACCUUUUUGUUGUUGUUGUUUUUUCUUUGUUGUUGUCUAAAGGGAGCAAGUGUAGCCAGGAGGAGGGGUUUUUCCACAAGUGAUAAGGAGCUGAAGAGCAAUAGGAACAUAGAUAUUAAGGUCAAGAGCCUUAAUCUUAAGUGUUGUACAAAGACAAACAGCUGCUUCCAAUUCAGCCAACCCUGAUAUUAUAGGGCAACAUGCAUUCGCUGCAGGGUCCCCUAUUCCAAUGUGCACCAACCCUCCCAAUAGAUUCACACACCCUCCCAACUUCAACGUGUCAAUCGGACAAGUCUCUUUCCCCGAGGGUGGGCACGGUGUGUUUACCCCUGGCGACGGUUUUCCAAGAAUCGGAGGGACUGGGAGUACUGGUGGAAUGGGAACAGAUGGGAUAGGAACCACCGGAGGAAUGGGGACCGAGGGGAUUGGAACCACCGGAGGAAUGGGGACCGAGGGGAUUGGAACCACAGGAGGAAUGGGGACGGAAGGGAUUGGAACCACGGGAGGGAUCUUGAUGGGGAUGGGGGGAAGGGUGAUGGGGCCUUUGGGGGACUUUGAACCGGAACCGGGCUUGGUUUUUCUAGGGGGUUUGCCGCUGCAUGAACCGCAGCCGAGGAUGGGAGAGGCUGAGGAAAUGAAAAGCAUGCAAAUGAGGAAGAGGGAAUAAAUUUUGGAAGGCUCCAUUUUUGAAUGGUUAUGGAGAAAAAGAGAGUGUGGGAAUGGGAGUGAGGAAAGUGAAGGAAUUAUAUAGGAAUAGUGAGGAAAAGAAGAAAACAAAAGAAAGUUGAAAGAAAAGAAAAAACAAAUCACGUGAACAUGGGGCUAAGGCCAACCAUGAUCUAAAGGACAUCUUCCUAGUUGGCAUUUCUAAUCUCUUCAUUAUUUUUUUUAAAAUUAUUUUAUUCAAAUUCUUCAUCAUGUAUUGUAUAUUUUGGUAUGAAGGUUUUGAAUGUUGUGUGAGUCAUAUGGAGAAAGUGUGGUCACAAAAUUUCAUAUACCAACUCACAAACUUCAUUUUAACUUCCACCUCCAUCAAAUUUUCAUCUUUUAAAUUUUAAAUUGUCUUUCUUUUCUCUUCUUCUCCGUCCCACUGAAAUGAACAAAAAAAUUAUAAAUAUAACAAAAUUUAAAAUUUCAUAAUGAUAGACAUGAUAUUAGUGACACUAUAGAAGUUCGUUAUAGAAGUUUGUCAGUUUCAUUCUAAUAAAAUUUGAAAUUUUAUUAUAUUUGUAGAUAUUUUUUAACAUUUUUAUCCUUUCAAAUCAUUUAUAGUUUUAUUAGAUUUUAUCAAUUAUUUUCCUUAAGGAAUCAUUUGAAUUUUCUUAGCUAAAUUUAUCGUAACAAAAUUAAUUAUUUUAAUAUUGUUAUUACUAUUUAGUUUCCUAUUGAAGUUUCUAAAAGUUGAGCAUUUUUCUUACACACCCUAGUUUUCAGAUUUUUUUUUUUGGCAAACAUUUGAAUUUGUAAUUAGGUUUUCAAAUUCUUUUCUUUUUAUUUUCAAAAACUUAUCCUAAAACACCCAAAAGGUAGAUAAUGAAAUAGUUAAACCUACCUAAAUAAAUAGAAACCAGAGUUUAAAGGUUUAAUUUUAACAAACCAAUAUAUAUAUAUAUAUAUAUAUAUAUAUAUAUAUAUAUAUAUAUAUAUAUAUAUAUAUAUAUAUAUAUAUAUAUAUAUAUAUAUAUAUAUAUAUGUAUAUUGAGUGCUUGAAGUUGUAGAUCAGAUUUUCUGAUGACCCAACCUAAGGAAAAAAAAAGGUCUUCAUGAAUUUUGUUAGGAAAUAGCUUUAACUGCAAUUUGGAAGGAAGUAAUGACAUACUACGUCUCUAGUGAGUCCAUAGAGAGUCAAUUACCAAAGGUAAAGGUUGGUUGACUGUGAAUGUUUUAACCAUUAAAGAAAAACGUUAGAAAAAAGUGCACAAAAUUUAAAAUGGAAAAUUUUAAUUGAAAAAUCGAACCGUUCAAAUUUUCAAUGAGAGAAAAUAUCCAACCCAAAGUCAUAUUGAGGUUAAUUUGAAUUUUCUUACUCCAUCAUCAAUUAAUCACAAAAGUUACUUGUAAUCUUGUGCGUAUAAGUUUAGUCUAUCACAUUUAGAAAAGCUAAUAAAUGGACGUCCUUUUUAUCAAAUUGAUAUUUCUGUCUAAAUGAAAAGCAUUCUAAACAUGCAAAUCGGUCUAAAGUAAGCGCAAGGAUGAAGAAAAUAAUUGAAAGUUGCACAAUUAAGUGUAAUUAAAUGCGUUCCUCACCUAGGUUAGUUAGGUAAACGCUUAUAUCUUGAAAAUGUUAAACAUUUUACAAUCCCAACUCAAUUAUUUGAUACUUAGCGAUCUAGGGACCUAACGAUUGAGUAUUGAGUGUAAUUCUAUUGUGUAGUGUUGUGGAGCUAUAGUGUGUUACGUGUGCCGUGUGUGAGUCACUUCAGUCAAACAUUGUAACGUCAUGACACUCCUUGAUGAAAAUUAUUAGGAAACCUUGCUCUCGGGUUUUGGCACUACGACAAGCAUCGAGAUGUCAUCCUUCGUUUCAUUCUUCUUGCUCAAAUUGCUGCAUUAAGUCUCCAUUUAGGCGCAUUUUAAUUGAGGAUUGGUGCUGGAUUGAUUUUUCCUAGAUUAUGUUUGAUACCAAUAAAAUCAGAAAAUAAACAUGUAAAAUACAUGAACGAACUCGAAUUAAGUAGAACAAGUUAACAUAUUAUUGGUAUCAUUUAUUAUUGUGUGUGAAUAAAAUAGAUAGCUAUACAUUUUCUUUGUUUUGUUGAUGCAAAGGACACCCGUUAUUUUAAUUUAGAGCAACACUGAGACAAUGUUUUUACAACACCUCCAUAGUGCUAAAACUUUUUGUGAAGAAUGGUCCAAAUGAAGAAUUUAAAUUCCAUGGGGGUUGUGGAUUUGUAAAGCAAAAGAGAAUGUCACUUUCCAAAUUUGGAGAAGCUCUUUGAUUAGGUUGAUAGACUGCAAUGCCUCUUUAAUAGUGAAGAGACGUGGAAAGUACCAUUUGUAUUAACUUCCACAUCUUGGUUGAUCAUCUUCUCUAUUCGUUAGGUAGGGAGAAAUUGGAUUUUGCUUUAUUCCACUAAACCAUAUUUCUCUCUAUUAAAUAGCGAUAUUAAUCAGCUUCAACUAAUUUUGAUUUAUUAAAAAACGAUCUUUUCAUCAUUUGUGACACUUUAAAAUAUACAUAGAAUCGAUAUCUUAUAUAUAUCUAAUAUAAGUACGUUCAGAUAUGUAAAAUAAAGUAUUUGAUUUUUUUUUUUAAUUUUAAAUUUCAGAUACGUAUCUGAACAUCGACCUCCACAUAUAUCAACAAUGAUACAUUGUCCAUUUUGAGUAUACAUCUUCAUAGGUUUGCAUUUAAUUUCACCCAAAAGGUUUCAUAAAUGGAUAUAGUUGUCUACACACAUACACCGUACCUAAUAUGUGGGAUUUUGUUAGCACUCCUAACACCCUAAUCAUUUGUAAAAUUUUCAUUUCUAAUCGUUGGCCUUAGAAAUUGUUAAAAUGAAAAUGAAAAUAGUAGGGAGGUUACUUGAAAUAUUAUUAAUCACGUUGUAAAUACUUUAUUUUUUAUUUAGAGACAAACAAAUUCACAAGAAAGAGUUUAAUUUAGUUGAAACGAUGGAGGGUAUCACAUAGGACAAGAAAAUUAUGGACCGUUAAAAAUCAAGAACCUUAUCUGGUACUGCCACAGAAGUUGCUACAAUGUUGGUAAAAAACUCUUUGAAUUACUCCAAUCCUACAAAAAAGAAAGAGUGCCAUGCAUGUUUGCACAAAUUGUAACAUCCCAGAUCGUACAGUUGACAAGUGCUAUUGGAUCCAUGGUUUUCCCCCGGUUAUUGCCCCAGUUGAAACAAUUAGAAAUCUUAUUCAAGCAACAAGACAACAACCCCUUCCAUAGACUCCCUUGCUAACAUGAAUGUUGAACAAUGCCAAGUUCUUUUGGCUAACCUCUAGUCUCAUCUUGCCAAAGUAAAGGUUGACACCUCUACAACUAAUCCCUCCAGUGCAUUUCGCUUCCAUUCAUGUUGUAGGUACUUGUCAUUUUUUGCCAUUGUCCAUUUUUGAAAUGAGCUGCUAGAUUAUAGAUUUUGGUGCCACAACCCACAUAUGCUUCUCCUGUAAGAGUUUCCAUUCAUUAAGAGCUGGUAAUGGUUUCAAUGUUUCAAUAAUACUUGAUCACACAUGAAUAUUCAUGAAAAAGAAAUUGGAAAUAUUCACUUACUAUCUAGUCUGAUUUUGAAAGAUGUCUUGUUCAUACCUGAAUUUUGAUUCAACUUCAUCUUAGCCGGUGGACUAACUAUGAAAUUCCUACAGUAAAAUUUGUUGAAAUUUUUUGUCUCAUAUAUGAAAAUUUUUGGUUUAGGACAAUUGGAAAAGUUGAAAUCUAGAAUGGUUUAUAUCUCCUACUAGUUUUGAUACUUCUCUAUGUAACACAAUUUCUACCCAUUGUAAUUUCUUUUAUACUUGGCAUACUAGACUAGGUCACCCCUUCACCGAACAAAGAAGACGACAAUUUCAGUAAAACAAUCAUAUUUGUAAUAAUAUUUUUUUUUAUCUCUUGCAUUGUAACAUUAAGGGGCCUUACCAGUCUCUUACUAAAUAAGUGUACAAAUAUUUUUGAACACUUGUUGAUGAUUAUUCCUGUUACACUUGGAUCUUUUUGCUACGCCAAAAAUCUAAUGUUCUCUUAGUCAUUCCUCAUUUUUUUAUUCGUAUUGGGAACCAGUUUAGAACCACCAUCAAGAAGUUCAAAUCAGAUAAUGCCCUAGAAUUGUCCUUUACUAAACUUUUCCACAUAAAAUGCAUCAUCCACCAAUUUUCUUGUGUUAACCUUUGAAACAGAAUUAAGUGGUAGAGAGAAAGCACCAACACCUACUGAAUGUCUCCCAUUUGAAACAAUUAGAAAUCUAAAAGAUACAUAUUCUUCGUUUCUCUAUUCAUUUUUUUAGCACUAAUAUUUGUUUCAUCUAAAAAAACUAAUUUUCAUUAUUUGUAGAUUUUGUUAUUUUACGUUGCAAAAAAAUAGUUUUCGUAGUUAACAAAUUAAGAAAACAUUUAAAAAAAAUUAUUUCAAAAUAAAUGUAACAAAAUAUUAUAGUUUAUUUAUGAUAGAUUGUGUUAGACACGGACAAACAGUGGCCUAUUGACUACUAUCACAAGUAGGCUAUGAUAAACUAUUUUGCCAUAUUUGUAAAUACUUGACCUCUUAUAUUUAAAAACACUCAACAUAUUUAUUUUAUUAUCCAAAAUUUCAAAUUGUAUUACUUCUUUUUAACUGCGACUCUUAGAUUUCUUUUUUCAUUUUGUCCGUUCGUUACUGCUUUAUAUACAAUUUAAACUAAUUUUAUAAUUACUUCAUUUUUCUCUUCACAAAAUAUGUUUUCUAAUGGCCGACCCAUGCCCUUCCUAAUUAACAUUUAAUUUAGGAAAAGUAAAAGUUUAUUUCUUUUGUUAAACAAUUUAGAGGUUUUAUUAUACCGCACUUAAUAAUCAAUUCUCACUAUUACUAUAGCUUUAAAGAAAUUUUGACUUAAUUGUAAAAUAGGGUAUAUUUGGGAGAAUUAGAUUCGAUCUAACGGUAAAAAAUUGACACCAUGAACAAAAUACUUACAUUUUACGAUAAAAUCAAGUGUAGUAAGUUUUUGUCCUUUAAUAAUUUUUGGUCGAGAGGUGUAAAUAGUUAUUAUUAUUGUUGUUAUUAUUAUACUUCAAAACCCUAGUAGUAAAAUUAGCUAGAAAAGUGUUUGCAUACAGAAAAAGUUAGUAAGAAGGGUGGAAGUGAACCAUUUAUUAGAUAAACUAAUUUAUAUUGUGUAUCAAACUCAAUCCACCAGAAAAACAAGUCCGUAUAUAUCUUAUUAAUAUAAAUAUGUAAAGCCAUGUAAGAUUUUUAACAUGAGUUGUGUAAAUUAGUAUAAAAUAAAAAAGAAUUCUAUAUACUAAAAGUAAUAUUUUUAUUUAAUUUUUUUUAGAAUAUUUAAUAUAUGUAUAUAAUAAUUAAAAGAAAAGAAAAUUAAGGAAAUUAGGGCUGAAUUUUGUAUGUAAAUCCUUGGGCACAUAAUGUUCUAUAUCGCUCCAAUGAUUAAGCUAUGGGGUCCUGUGUAUAUCUGUCGAUAAAAUGUACACUACACAAUAUUUCUUUAUAUAUAUAUAUAUAUAUGAAAAAUGAAACAAAAUGAUAUGGAAAGUUGAACAAUCCAGACCGAAUAAUAAAUACAUUAUGGAUUUUUCCCAAAUAAUAAAAAUAAAGUUGCAAUUAAUGUCAACCAGCUCAUCCAGGCUGAUUCCUUCAUAAUUUUGCAUGGGAAUUUCUUCAUUUCUCAAUAUAUAAAAAAUAUAUAUAUGUAUAUGAGAGAACAAUAAUUCUUUGUGUUCUUCAACUCAGAAUCUAGUUACCAUUUCUUACCCAGUUUCAAUGUUCUCUAUUAGUUAAGGUGGUGUGUAUGUUUGAUCGAGAUGUCAAAGAUUUAAACUUUCCAUCUUCAAAUGUGUGUUAGAACGUAGUAUUUAACAAAAAAAAAAAAAUUAACUUCUCUUUUAUAAUCAAUGAGUAAUUUUAUGUUUUAGUUCCUUCUUUUAAAGAAAGUAAUUAAAAGCCUAUAAUACUAAUUUUUCAUCUAUUCAUUUAUUUGUUUUGUUUUUUUUUCUAAAUGCUUUAAAAGUAAGGUCAAAUUGAAAAAAAAAGAAAACUACUUAUCAAAAUUUACUAAUUCAAGUGUUUUAAAGUAAUUUUUUUUAGAAAGGAUAUGAUAUGACAGGUCAGUAGAUGCAUCCGAACAUUUCUACUGGGUGGACACUCCCUUAGCACCACCAUCAUUCCCAUUUCAUUGAUAUAGAAAAACGAAUACACCAGAAGCAAAGAGAUCAACCCAAACUUUCUGGUAUCAGAGCCAGGAUUUUAGGUAAUUAGAAAUUAUAAAUAAAUUAAGAUAUAUAUAUAUAUAUAUAUAACAUUCAUUUUAGUUUUUGGUUAUUGCGACUUUAUUCUCACAUUUUUUUUUAAUUAUGGUUGUUUUUUCUUUACUCUAAACAUUCGAAUCAUACUCAAGUUUUAAAAACAAACAUAAGUUUUAUAAAAAAAAUUAGGUAAAGAUUUUUCAACUUUAGAAUUAACCUCCUCAUAAAAACUUCAUCUAUGUCUAUUUUUAGUGGUGUUUUAAAACAUUAAUUAAGCUAAACUUUCAAAACUAAAAAAAAGACAAGUUUUGAAAACUGUUAUUUAUCGAAAACUAAAAACAAAAACAAAUAGAAAUGUAAGCUAAUUUUGACCUUUGAAUUUUCUAAAACUAAUGCCCUUUAAAUAACUAUUUGAUUUUUUAAAAUUAAAAUCAAGCUUAUUACCUCUUAAAGUGAUUUCUACCAUUCUCAAAGUAAAAAAAAAGUUCAAUUGUAGCAAAAUUUCAAAAGCAGAUAAACAUUUUCUAAAAGCUACUUUUUCUAUAGUUGUAAAAAUUUUACUUGGUUUUUUUUCCUAAAAAGAUUGAUAAAAAUUAAACAAAAAAAAAAUUACAUGCAGAAGAGUGUUUAUUAUAGCUUAUUACCAUUUAUAUUACUUAAAAGCAAAAACUUAAUCAAAAUCUUUAGCAAUACACCUCUCAUCCCAACAUCGAAAAUUGCACCAAAAUUAUUGAGGAAAAAAUUGGACUCAUCAAUAAACUCUUAGCUCCUUUUGCACAAACCACAAAUCGCUACGUUCAAAACAACAAACUGCACUUUCAUUCUCUCAGUUUCCAAAAUAUUCACCUUCAUUGUGAUGUUAUUGUAGAUCUAACUAGCUUUUGUUUUUUCAAUCUGUUAGUUCAAUUUACCUUAUAAGAACACAAAAACAAAGAGAAGAGAGAGAGAGAUUUGAAACGAUUAUGGGGUUGUGUGUGAGAGAGAUACAAUACAGCUAGCAAAGCCCAUGUGGGGUGCCAAUAUUGCAUGGUAGCUACAACAACAAGACAUACACAAAAGAUGUAUAUUACAACAACUAACGUUUCCAUAUUUUUAUAAUAUCAACUGUUUAAAUUUGAAAGAUAUUUAAGUGUACUUCGAGCUACAUUCAAAUGUAGUGUAUCCAAUGUCUAAUUACAAGUUGUCACGUGAUAAUUUUUUUUUUAAAAAAAUAUUUUCUUUAUUACUUAUUAUUGAAGAGAAGGCAUGAAGAUGUGUGCAAUCUUAAUUGUACUAAAACGUCAUACCAAGUCAUUUUAGUUUUUCUUUUUUAAAAAAAUUGAAUUAUUCCUUUUUAUGAAUAAUAAUAAAGAGUGUAGUAUGAAGUUAUUAUUGGUGUAACUUAUGGUUAUUUCUCUUUUUAUAAUAAUUUUGUAUUUUCAUAACAAAUCUACAACCUGAAAAAAUUUCAUAUAAAUGUAGUUCAAUUAUUGCACUAGUUAUUUCUCAUAGUAUUGUGUAAUUCAAAUCUCAAUUUAACACACAAGGGAUGUCUUGUUUAGGAUUAGGAACAUAGUUGUUUAGUUGGAGCUCACAAUAAAAGUUUUAAAACUCUUUGAAGAUAAACACUGAAACUUCAGUCCAUUCCAGCCAAUUCCUCCUUCCAAACACUUCUCAAAUUUGAAAGUAUCACUUUAAUUACCUCCACAACCUCUGGCUUAGCUUCAAUUUUGCCUUGUGCGGUUAUAAAAGUUCCAAUUCUAUUUCUAUGGGUUUGUCGAACCUCACAAAUUGUUUUGUGGUCGAACCUCACAUUAUUAUUCAUUUCAUCUUAGCAAUGAGUUAUUAUUUUAUAUUUCCCUCUUGUUAAUUAUGCUAAUUGGUUGUAUUAGACUUAUAUAACUAAAAUUUUUACACAACAAAGAUAGGAUAUAAAAGUUUGAGUCUGUAACAUAUAGAAAAUAAUAGAUGUUCAUUGCAAAUGAUCUAUAUGCUCAUAUUGUCAAUUUUAGAACUAAAUGAAAAAAUAACAUAAGGUAUAAGUUAAGAUUUAACCAAUCAUAACAGAAAAACUAAUAUUAAGCUCAAACAACAUAUAAAAGAUAGAAAACCGAACUUGUGGUUGAGGUAAAUCACUAACCUAACUAUAGAAACUAAACUAAAUUAACAAAUUAUGAACUUAAGACUAAAUCUUAUGGAUGGCUUAUAUUUUUAAUCUGAUGUGAGACUAUAUUUACCUUCUGUCUACAGUGAAAAAUGUUGUGUGAAGGAAGAGAGGAGAGAGAAAAGGAGAGAGGGAGAGAGGAGGGGCAUGUGAGUGGAUGGUGAAAGAAAGGUGUGUGUCUAUGGGUGAAUGAAGUUAAAAUAGAUGAAGCUGUAUGGUUUUUUGUAAUGUUGUGGGAUCCGUGAUUUUGCUUUACUCAUCCUUGAUGUGAUUGCUCCUAAUUUUUCUCCAUUCUAUUUUCGAUAUCUUCUCCAUUUUUUCGUUUAUAUCAAUGAUAGUAUACUUACCCAUGCAUUUCGAGAUGUACUUAUCUUUAUAUAUAUAUAUAUAUCUUAUUUUCGUCGAGUAAAAAAAAGAAAGAUAAUAAUUAAAAUGAAAGAUAUAAAAAGAAUUGUGUACGUGCCACAAUUUAAUAAAUGGUAUAAAAGUCAAUGCAGUUUUGAAAAGUAUUAAAAUAUUUUUUAGGUCAAAAUGAUGGUUUUAAUCCCUACACUUUCUGUUUAUCAGUGAACUUUCUUUUCUUUCUUUUCUACUUUUUUUUUUUCUCAUUUGGAUUUGCUUCCCUAGAGCCAUUCACAUUCACAACAUAUUCCCCUUCUUUCAAUCUUAUCUUUGGCCCAAACACUUUCUUUUUGUGUGUUUGUUUUUCAUCUUUUGGCUUUGGUAGGUAUAGUAAUAUGUUAGUGAUUUGAAUUGUGGACAAAAAUGUAUUUCUACUUUUUUUGCUGUCUCAUUUCUCUUUAUCAUAACUUUGAUUUAUUAUUAUUUUUUUACCAUGGGUGAAAGUGAAAAUUUAGAUUAUUGAUAUUUCAGUCGAAAGUAUAACUUUAACCGUUUAACUUCGUAUAUAUGUUUUGUUUAACUAUUCUUACCUUAUUUCCUAUGCACGAGGUAUUUUAAAAAAGAAAGAAUAAAAUGUAUUUGAUAGUAGUUUUUGUUUUUGAAAGAAAAAAAAACAUGUUUGACAAGUAUUUAUUGUUUUGUUCUUUAUUAAAUUAAAAUAAACUUUGUAGAAUGUUUAGAUUAUUUUUGUAUUUUUUUUUUAUAUUUUUAAAGAAAAGUGUAUGAUUAGACACUUAUUUAGGUUUUCAAACAUAAAUUUAAAAGAUAAAAAUAAAAACGAAAACGAAAAUAAUAAUUAUUUUUUUUUUCAAAAUUUAUAUUGAAGUUUUGGUUAAAAGGAGAAAUGAAAAACAUUGUGUCAAAAAGGAGUAAAAAUAAGAAAUAAAAGUUUGAUGAAACAACUCUAAAUAGAACAACAGUAUCGAUAAAAUUUUAAAAAGCCCAUAAACCAUGAAAGAACGUGACAACUAAGAAUCAAAUAAUAUAUCAUAAGCAAUGAUGGCAUAAAUAUGUAAUACAAUCACACAAUUUAAAUCACUUUGUAUCUUUCUCAUCAAUUUGCUACUAGUUGUAAACAAUUUCAACCUCUAGUUUUAUAGCAAACGAGAAAAAAAAAAUAUAAUGUAAUAAGAUAUUUUAAUUUACAAGGAUGGUAUAAACUUCAGUAUCCAUGAGAUAUGGAACAAGAGAAGGAAUGUCAUAAGUUUGUUUGUCCAUCAAUUAUUUUUCACCAUUUAAAAUAACAAUUGGUGGUAUAGCAUCUGAAUUUGCGUUAUAGAAAGCCAAAGAAGAAAAAAGGGGAAUACUGGUGGGAUUUUAAAAGAGAGAGAAUGGUAAAUAAAAAAGAGGUAUAUGUAUAUUAGCUGAAAAAAGAGAGGAGAGAAAAAAAAAGAGAGGUGUGUUUCGACUUUGCAUGGGAAAGGAUGGCAGAGUAAUUAAUGGGGGGUUUUGUCGUGUGUGAUGGAGUGUGUGUAGACAGACUAACAUUUUACCGAACACGCGUAGAAUCCAAUGGCUGAGAUUUCUUAAUCCAAACUGAUGGCUGUGGAUGCACCAUGGAGAUCUACUUGGGUCAUGAUCCAGUGGCUCCCCUUCCUUCUCCAACUCUCACUUGGAUAAACUUCAUCUCUUCUUUUCUUCCACAUAUUUUCUAUGGACCCCCCCACCAUUUUCCUUUUUAACUCUCUCUAUAUAUUUAUGUUUACGAGAUACAAUAAUUAUAUUAUAUGGUUUUAAUUUGAUAUAAAUAUGUUACUUUUACCUAAUAUAUUUCUAUUGUUACUGCUUAUGCUAUCUUGACGAUUUAAUAUAAAUUAUUAUCGUUAUUUAUCAACCUUCUAAUUGAUUGAUUCUUUUAUUAAUUAAUUCAAUUAUGUUUAAUUCAAAACUAUUUAUUUAUUACCCAUGUAAUUAAACCUUACGUAAAUAAUUAAUUAUUUAUGUUUUAGUUUAUGUAUUCAUUCCAAAUUUAGAAAUUUAAAUCUCAAAUAUUUAAUAACUAUAUUUAUAAAACAAUAUUUGUGGUUCAAAUCAUUUUUACGUUUUAAAUAUUGUAAAGAUAUAUAAUAGAGAGAUGUUUUAGAAAAACUUGAGUACUCUUUGGCUAUUCUUAGCGUGUCUUUAAGUAUCGUUUAAUAAAAUGUUGUUUAAAACAUUUUUAUUUCUUUCAAAAAAUAAUAUAUAUAUAUAUAUAUAUUUUUUGUUUUGAUGAAAAAUAGACACCACAAUAAUUGGGUACAACCUAGGUUAUAUCUAAUAAUUGCUUCAUAGUUAACCUGAUUAAUUUAUUUAUAAAAAUUGUAAAAUUAGAAAAAGUUUAUAUUUACAAUUUUACUAUAUUUAAAAAUAUUUAAAACAAUUUUAUCAUUUAAAAUAAUUCUAGUAACUUGAUAUAUGAUUUUUAGGUUGAAUGAUUUUAAAAAAUAGCAAAUAUUUGGUAAAAUCCAAAAUUUUGCUAUAAUUUGUGAAUAUUUUAAUUUAUUUUGUUAUUUUUAAAAAUUCUUCUUUUAAAUUUUAAAAAUUAAACUUAUAAACACUUUCACAUUUAUUCGUUUGUUAUCUAUUUUUAAUCAUGUUUUAAAAAAUUAAACUAAAUUUUGAAAAAAGUUUAAAAAAUUGUUUUUGUUUAGGAAAAUUUGAGUAAGAAUUUAUUUAUUUUUAAUGCAAAUGAUUGAAAAAAGAAAGAAAGAAAAGAAAAUAAAUUUAAAAAAAAAAUAGCAAAUGAAAUGGUUGAUAAGAACAUGACCUGAACUCCCAUCUAUUUACUGUUUUAUUUUUUAAAAUGAAGUUUAUAUUCCCAACUUUUACAUAUAUUCUAUUAUCUACUAUCUCAAUAUAUGUUUUGAAAAGGCAAAGUUAAAAACGAAAACAAAAAAGUUAACGUUCAAAAAUUAGUUUUUCUUUUUAUAAGUUAACUAAAAAUUUGUGUUAUUUAAAAAAUAUUAUAAAACAAAUAAAACGUAAAUUUAAAAAAUAUCAAAUUAAAACCAAAUUGUUAUCGAUGAAGGCUUUAAAAAAUAUCAAAUUUUCCUUAUUUAUGCAUUUUACAAUUAUUUUGUUUAAGAGAACAAAAUUUGUAUUCUCAAAUUCCAUACUAAUAAUGCAACCAUAGCUUUCUUUUACCACUUUCUGUUUUGUUUGGUUCAUUUUAUACUAAAAAAAUAAACCAUAACUUUAAAUGUAUAACUUUUUUUAACAUUCAAUAAAGUUUACUACAAAAUGGUAACAAUUGUGACUACAGGUUCAACUAUUAUAGAGAAAAUGAUAGGUGGUGCUUUGAACUAGUAUAUUGUCAAAUAUGAACAAAGAACUUUAUGGGGGAAAGAUGGGAGCAAUAGAUGGAAUGGAUGAACUACACUUAUUUUCGGAAUCAAAUGUGUUGGAUUUGAGAGGCUAUGGUACUUCACUUGUUGGGAGAGAGUGUAGAUAGAGAACCUAUGGUAAUGGUAGUUAGUACUUGUUGAUAGAGUGUAGAACUUAAAAUAGUGUGUGAAAAUUGAGUGGAUUCUGGAGCCUAGGAAGUAUUUAGACAUUUAAAACAAUAUUAUUAAAAUUUAAGGUUAUAUAUAACAUGUAGAUUGGAUAGAUUUUAGCAUCUAACGUGGAUCGUGUCGGAAAAAAGUAUUCAAGUUCGAUUGUAGAAGUAAGAAAAAUGAUUGAAAGUCUCACAUUUGGUUAGGAAAAAGGAAGUAAUAAUGCGUAUAUAAGUGAGAACAAUUAACUUUAUUGACGUGAAGUCGGUCUUUUGGGUGGUCAAAAGCAAGUCAUGAUAGUCGUUUAUGCUAAAAGUGGACAGUAUAAUAGCUCACCAUUGUGGACAUAUGUGGAGAUCUAUUAUCCUCAUCAUUUAUCUCUUGUUAAAAGAAAUUGACAAACUUCAAGUUUUAUAAAAUUAAUAAAGUAAUAAAGAUGUAGAAGUUCAUUUAAAAAUAACUGUAGCUCAUCUCAAAAUCAGUUCAGGUGAGUGCUUGUUGCCCUAAUCAUGAAAACAAAAUGACAAAUAGAAGAAGCGAUCAAUCAAAGAUAUAGAUCAUUUUAUCUUGAUUAAGCAAAGGUGCAUAAAACUAAAGAAUAUCACCAAAUUAUCUCAAAGUAGAAACUCCUUUCGUUUCUAAGAUCCAUUAGGUCUAAAGUUAAGCUUCGUUUUCUUCGAUCCACAAAAAAAGAUAGAUAAGUGUCUUUUCUAUAUAUUGAUACACAAAAUCAUACCUACCACACAUAGAAGAAAUUAAAGUGGUACGAACUGACAAUUUUGUAGAAGAAAUUAAAGUGGUACGAAGUGACAAUUUCGACCUUGAAUAUAUGUUCUUGAAGAAGAUACAUGCUCAAAAUGACUUGAUUUCUUCCUUCAAGCAUGUUGCCAAGCUAGAGACACUAUCUUUUAUCUUAGCAAUUGCUUUGGCCUUGUAUUUUGAUGUCUUACUCACCAAGGUGAGUUCUUCGUGUUAUGAUAUAUAUAUAUAUAUACAUAUGUCCUUUAUUGUAAUUUUACAUAGUCUCUAGGGUUUAGUUUAUUCUCUAUAUAAAUAUGUAACAUUGCUUUGACUCAAUGAUAUAAGACAGAUACGUUUCUAAAUUCUAAAUUACAUGGUAUCAGAGCCCAACAUUAGGUUUGAAGUUUGGGUUACCUUCCGGUGACCAUUUGUCGACACCGCCCAUACCAUAAGAAGCACCACCUCCGUCCGCCCAAGUCUGUCUUUGCCGAUCGUCGGAAAACACCGCGCGUGAUCGUGACGCGCCGUCGGAAUCAUCGCCACCUUCACCCACGCGCCGACGCGUGAGAGCGCGUGAGAAGUCCGAUU